AUACGGAGGAUCCGAGCGUUAUCCGGAUUUAUUGGGUUUAAAGGGAGCGUAGGUGGAUUGUUAAGUCAGUUGUGAAAGUUUGCGGCUCAACCGUAAAAUUGCAGUUGAAACUGGCAGUCUUGAGUACAGUAGAGGUGGGCGGAAUUCGUGGUGUAGCGGUGAAAUGCUUAGAUAUCACGAAGAACUCCGAUCGCGAAGGCAGCUCACCGGGCCGGAACUGACACUGAUGCUCGAAAGUGCGGGUAGCAAACAGGAUUAGAUACCCUGGUAGUCCGCACAGUAAACGAUGAAUACUCGCUGUUUGCGAUACACAGUAAGCGGCCAAGCGAAAGCGUUAAGUAUUCCACCUGGGGAGUACGCCGGCAACGGUGAAACUCAAAGGAAUUGACGGGG
rnacentral:rRNA from 1 species